CCUACGGGAUGCAGCAGUGGGGAAUAUUGGGCAAUGGGCGCAAGCCUGACCCAGCAACGCCGCGUGAAGGAAGAAGGCUUUCGGGUUGUAAACGUCUUUUCUCAGGGACGAAGAAAGUGACGGUACCUGAGGAAUAAGCCACGGCUAACUACGUGCCAGCAGUCGCGGUAAUACGUAGGUGGCAAGCGUUAUCCGGAUUUACUGGGUGUAAAGGGCGUGUAGGCGGGACUGCAAGUCAGAUGUGAAAACCACGGGCUCAACCUGUGGCCUGCAUUUGAAACUGGAGUUCUUGAGUACUGGGGAGGCAGACGGAAUUCCUGGGGUAGCGGUGAAAUGCGUAGAUAUUAGGAGGAACACCAGUGGCGAAGGCGGUCUGCUGGACAGCAACUGACGCUGAGGCGCGAAGGCGUGGGGAGCAAACAGGAUUAGAUACCCUAGUAGUC
rnacentral:rRNA from 1 species